GUUCAGGGACAACCCUGUGAUCAUGGUUUUGGUCACAUAGCUUCCAAGUGAGUGUUGUGCAAACAUUUGCUAGGAUCUCUCGGGGAGCCUGUUAGAAAAGAAACUCCUGAGCCUGCUCCAGAGCUUCUGUUCAGCAGGCCUGAGGUGGGACCAUACACCUGUCUUUUCAGCAAGCCCCCCCCCACCUCUGAGGAUGCACCCCAAAGCUAGAGAAUUCCUGCUCUGAGCCAUCUCUGAAAGCACCAAGAGCCAGAGAUGGAGUCUCACUACAUUGUCCAGGCUGGAGUGCAGAGGCUAUUCACAGACAUGAUCAUAGCACACUAUAGCCUGGAACUCCUGGGCUUAUGCUAUCCUCCUGCCUCAGCCUCCCAAAUAGCUGGGAAUACAGGGCCAGGGAAGCUGGGCUGGAGGAAGCUGUCUGGGAGCCCAGGAGGCAAGCAGAAAACCGCCAGGACCGCCCCACGCUGGGGGAGCAGCAGGCACGGCCCCUACCAACACCCCCUGGCACCUCGCAAAGCUAGAGCCCGCCCGGUCCCCUCCCCGGAGCGCCCUGGUCUUUGGUUCGUAUUCAGCACAUCUUCAGAAACAGUGAUAGAAAAAUGCUGGUUUCUGACUCCACCAGCUCACGGAGGAGAUGCCAGCUCACGGAGGAAAAUCUGGAAGGUGUUGAAGCAUAGACGCUGGAACAUAAAAUGACUCAUGAUCUCACUGGGAGAAGGGCUGGGAACAUCGUGGGCUCUCUUCUCCCCGCGCUCCUCUCUCCGGGUCUCUGUUUCCCUCAUUCCACGAUGUUUAGUGAGUACCUGCAGAGGGGGCUUCCCGGGAUGCAGGGCUCAGGGCAGGGGUGGGGGCGAGCGUGGGCGAGGCAGAGCGGGCGAGCGCGGGCUGGGAAGGGCGCCCCUGGCGGGCGGCCCGGGCAUAAAGGCUUUUGAGCUGGCCUCGCGGGCAAGGCAGGAGGACUGCCUGGGGGAGGCGGCCAUACGCCCACCCUAGAGGAAAGCGGCCACCAACGCUGAGGGUCCGGCCCCCACUGACCCUCUGAGACCGAGCCGCCUCGUGUACCAGCGAGGCCACCCGCGCACCUGGCUUGGGCUCCCAGCCCCGCGCCCCUCCACGUCGGAGGCGCAACACCUGUACCCGAGCCUCGGACUCUGAGAACGUCUGGCCUUUAGAUAGGCCUCGCGCUCCCAGCGCUGGGGAGUCCUGCAUCCCCUAACCGGUGUCUCUCCCGGAUGCAAUGGAGGUGAACCCCUGGGGUCUCGCGGAUCCCGAGUUCAAAGCGACCACAGACUGCUCUGCUUCCAGGACAUCCCCUUGGACACCCUCCUCCCCCGCCCAGGCAACCCAAAACCAGCAUGUCCCCAGACACACUCCCCUAGACACACUCCGCAACGCCCCAGACCUGCUCCCCACUGAGUCCUCUGUAUCCAGGAACCAUCGGCGCACUACAUCAGACUAGAGGUCUGGGGUCACCCGACCAUCCCGCCACAAGCCCCUCCGAGGCAUCACUGUGUCCAGAUUUUGCAAACUGCACCUCCUGAAGGGGCUGGGGUCUGUCCACUUCGCCCCAUCUGCCGUGGCAGCACUUCCUCCGUGGUUCGCACCCCCACAGCAGCCUCCUGGGAAGGCACCUCCCUGGGGCCCCUCUCAGUCCACGGUGUGGAUAUGGUGAGUUCUUAAACCAUGAACUUCUGAUUUCACAGCUCUGCUUGAAGCCUUCAAUGUCAGGCUUCCUGUUGCUCUUAAGAUAAUGAUCAAAACUCUCAACAAAGUUCCCCUGAUAAAUGCUCUCAACGUGCCCCCCACCACAGCAUCCCUAACUGUAAUGAAUACAUCAUUGGUCCUCACGGCAGCGGAUUAAUCGUCUGUGAGUGUUGGUUUAAUCUUUCUCUUCUGGAGUUUAGCUGUCACUGCCAUAUCCCCAGCACGGAGCACAAUGACAUGUUUAUAUGUAGAAAAUUGAGCGAAAAAUAAAAACAGCUAACAUUUGGGUACUUAUUAUCUUCCAGGCAGCAAGCUAUGCAUUUUGCAUAUAUUAGCAAAUCCAUGAGGCAGGUGCUGUCUUCAUUGUACAGGUGAGGAGCCUGAAGCUCAGAGAGGUGAAGGAACAUCCUCAAGGCCACGCUCUGAAAUCAACAAAAGAUACAUCAGUUUAUUGUGGGAAACAUCAGAACAUGCAGAGAUAUUAACAAAGAGAAGUCACUCAGAGAUGACUGUCAUUAACAUUUUGGUGUAUUUCUUCGUAGACAUUUUCCUAUGUCUCUGCAUAGUAACAUACUGUCCAGAGUGCUUGUAAUCUGCUAGACGGUUUGAUGAGACCAAGUUUUCAUGGUAUUAGCCACGGCAAUAUUUGUAUUCAUAUUUUAGGGUAUGGCUGAACUGAAAUUUGCUUUUGCUCAACUCAGCCCCUCUUGUGAACAUUAGGCACUUUGCACUUCACCUGCUGAAAACGUGGUAGUCAUAAACACGCUGGUAGCUCAAUCGUCCCACCUAUCUUUACUAUGUUAUUCAUUCCUAGCAGUGGGGCCUGGGUCAAAAGUUCUGCAGGGUUUUAAGGCUUUGGAUCAGUGGUUCGGGAUUGUCCUCUGGGACGGGCUGAGAAGCACACAUGCCUGCCGGUGGUGACAAGCAUUCCUUCCUAGUGCAGAGUCAGGUCUGCACCUGGCACCCCCUACCCAUCCAGGUUGGGUCCCUGGCAUUCAGUUAUGUGGAACAGACCAGAAAAAUUAAAAAAGAACCCCCUCCCGCAUCUUCCCCGAAGGACCACUGGCCUGCUGUCUCUCCCCGCACUCCCCCACUGGAGUUCAUACCCACUGAAUCACGACCCCCUUGUGGCUAAGCCCUGGUGCGCCACCCUGCAAAAUCAAAGGUGGUGUCUAGGCACAGAAAUGGCUCCGUGACCUAUGUCCCCUUUGUUCUAAUCUAGAAUCCAGCCAGGAGUAUGCGUGUCAGAAGCCAGGGGUGAUUGUGUUUUUUCUCCUUCCUCUUUCUUUAGGUCAGGAAGAUUCCUGCAGCUGCUGAGUUAGUACUUUUAAGAAAGUACUGGAUUCCCUCUCACAAUGGGACUUUGAUUUUUUUAAGAAAAAGGUUUCAUAAGUUUUCAAAUAACCUGGAGCAGUUGAGCAAACUUAAUGUGCAGCGUGGUCCCUGCUGGCUGGGUUUGAGGGGCUGGGUCUCUCUGAGUGGAUGCUGGUGAGGUGCAGAGGUGAGUGAAGGCUUAUCCGGGAAUGGAGGAGAAGGGGACAGCCUGGGGAAUAAAAAAGAACUUUCCGUGAGACGCUGUACCUCAAUGCUAGAUAAUGCCAGGCUGGGCUUUUGCUAGUCUUAAAAACUACAUCACGCAUGUUAUAGGCAAAGGCCGGCAGCCCCUCCCAGGGAAAGCCCUUUGUUUGAGUCCAUAGAGACCCCCUAUUGCAAGGGCCCCUUUCGUGAUUUUUGAGGGGUCUGCAGGAAAAGAGGGCAGAGGUCGUAGUUUGGGGAUCGCUGGUGACCAUGCACCAACUUUUUUGUUGUUUCCAUCUCAGGAAGAAGAAAAGGUGCCUGAGGGCCUGUGUGGAAGGCCUGUCACACAGCACAUCCUGGGAAAUCUGUCCAGGAAGCAGCCAGGCGGGCAUCAGCCAGGCGGGCAUCAGCAUCUUCACUGUGCAGAUGAGAAACUGAGGCCGCAGAGGUGAAGGGACAUGCCCAGGAUCACUAAGGCAAGACGGGGGAAGAGCAGAGAUCUUGGGCAUGAUCUCGGCUCACUGCAACCUCCACCUCCCAGGUUCAAGGGAUUCUCCUGCUUCAGCCUCCCAAGGAGCUGGGAUUACAGGUGCCCGCCACCACGCCCGGCUAAUUUUUGUAUGUUUAGUAGAGACAGGGUUUCACCAUGUUGGCCAGGCUGGUCUCGAAUUCCUGAUCUCAAGUGAUCCGCCUUGCUCUGUCCCUUAGGGACCUCAGCUUAGUGUUCCACACACUGGCAGAUCGCCUCGUUCUUCUCAGGGCUCAGUGUUUUCCUGAGUCUGAACCACGAUCUGGGUAGCCAUCCCCUGGCGAGGACCAUUCGGGGUUCCAGCAGUCACAUGCCACGGUAAACAAGCUUCGUAAACAUCCCACGACAAAGGUGGGAGAGAAUCCCAGUAGGGACAAUGACUACAGGUGGAAUUGCUGGGAAAAAGUAUGUCGGUUUUAAGUGUUGAUAACUGGUCCUUUAUUGGUCGUGGUCAUUCAUUCUUCUGCCAGGCGGGGCUGGUGUUCCUAUAUCCUCUCCUCACCAACAGAGCGUCUUAUGUUUAUUUGUUGGCAACGUGGCAGGUGAAACAUGUACCCUGUCAUUAAAAAAAAUUAUACUUGGCUGGGCACGGUGGCUCACACCUGUAAUCCCAGAGCUUGGGAAGCUGAGGUGGGUGGAUUGCUUGAGGCCCGGAGCUCGAGGCUAGCUUGGGCAGCACAACGAGACCCUGUUUCUACAAAAAAUACAAAAAUUAGUGGGGUGUAGUAGUGCACGCCUGUAGUCCCAGCUACUGGGGAGGCUGAGGUGGGAGGAUCACUUGAGCCUGUCUCAGAACAAACAAACAAACAAACAAAAAUAAGAAAAAAAUACAUAGUUUUAAAACAGUUUUAAACACAUUUGGGAAAAUAUAGGCAGUAGAAAUAGCAGUUGUGCUGUUAAUGCCUCAGACAGGGCUGGGCUCGUAGUAGGUGCUCAAUAAAUAUGUAUUAAGUAAGUGAAUAAGGAAGAAAAUCCCAUGGCUCUGCCAACAAGAAACACUUCUGUCAACAUUUCACUGUGUUUGUUUUCCUGAGUAUUUUUUCCUCUACAUAAUUUAGCUUUGUUUUCCAUUCAUUAUGCUCACCCGUGCAGACACAGUUUUUAAUCUUGUUUCUUUUUUUUCACUUCACGUUGUUGACAUGUGUGUUUCUCUCUUCUAAGCAGCGUUUCAGCAUCUCUAUAAAACCCUCACAGGUAUGUGAACCAUAGAUCAUUUGAAUCGUCUAUUGUGCUUUUAGGCUGUUUUCAAUUUUUCUUUUUAUAAAUGAUGCAGCAGAGUAUCUUUAUGCAGAGACCGUUUCCAUACUUCCCCCUGUGCAGAAGGAAAAGUAGGCAGAAGAAAGAUUAACUUGGUCAAAGCUUUUAAAAUCUGAUUUAAUACUUCUUAAGAAUGAUGCACCUUAUGAAACAACUUUAUAUCUGUUGAAAAACCUAGUUCUUUUUUUAAUAUUGUUUUAAAAAAUGACUUGUUCUGAACAAUAUCCUGUGCCUUUCAGAAGACAGCGACGGAUAUGAAAGGAGAUUUGUUCUCUCCAAGCUCUUAGGAGGCGAUCUGGCUCAGGAAACAGACACAUCAGAUCCGAGCAUGUAUCUGAUGGUUGCUAUGGGAACAAGUCAUUUAACAGCCACUCAGCUAAAGCAUUGAUCAAUAAGGAAGGGGGCAGGAGGGAAAUAAAUUAGUUGGUGUCUGAAUAGCCCUGAGAGAGAGCAAUAAUGCGUCCCCUUCCCAUGGCAGGGGCCCGGGCAGGAGGCAGGGGCGAAGUCUCGUCCAUCCACGCUGGGAUGUGUGGGGUAGGAGGGCAGAGGGGGCAGAGAACAGAAUCAUAUUGGGGUGAGAAACCUGCUCCCCAAACCAGAUAUGGGGCAAGUGAGGCCUUAGACAAGGCUGGGGGCAGGGCUCCCAGGGAUGGGGGCACGGCUGGUCCCGCUUCUCCACGCUCCUGUGAUGUGCUUGCCGGGCCUGCUGGGAUACCCUGUGGCACCCCAUCGCUCUAGUGGGGAGUUCCGGUCUAGAGAGGAGCCGUGACUCCUUCCAGGCACAUGGUCAACCCCACUUGUCUUCUGGGGGCUCCCAGCCUGGCAGGGGAGAAAGGCAAAGGCCCUCACGGGGUCGUUCAUUGAUUCAUCCACAAAUACUUCCUGAGCCUGUCUGAGGGACCAUGCUCAGGCCUGGGCAGACAGCAGAGACCCAAGGAAAGAACAGAACUUGGGCUCUGGGGCCAAAUCGUGGCUCGGCCACUUGGCAGGCUCUUCACCUGUAACGUGUUGAGAAAGUGACGUAAAGUCAGAGCCAGGAGUGGGCAUCCUGAGUGCUCAGCUGCCAUUGCUGGGACUCAUAAUCGCAAGGGAAGGCAGAGACAGAAGUGAGGGUUCCUAAGUGGAAGGUACUCAUAAAGCCUUGGCUGAAUACGUAUGGCUGACACAGGGGUGUCUGUGUUUGCCACCAAAGGGUGGCCCUGGGCUGGGAUUACACACGGAGAGAAGGCGGGAGGAAAGUCAGGGAGCCUCAGACCAUUGGAGGCUGCAUCUAUUGACCUCUGAUCCCCACAGGCAUGGGUGUGGGUGUGGGUGUGGGUGUGGCUGGCUCAAGGGUCAGUGCCCACCAGAGAACUGGACCAUAGAUGAGCUGGACUUUUCCAACCCUGCCAGCCUGGGCCAUCUCAAGGGUGCUAUUGGUUGUGAGGGGAGGAGGCCCUCUUUUCUGAGUCCCUCCCCAGAUGAGUGCAAGCUGGGACACAUAUACGAGAAGGAUCCUAAUAACAUGCAUGCCAAAAUCCUGCUGUCCCAGCCUUUGGUUCCAGCAGUUUGACUUCUGGAAGUCUUUCCCAAGGAAAUAACCUUGAACCCACGGUGUCUGCUGUAGCAUUCUUCAUAAGAGUGACUGCAAACAACCUCUAAGCCCCAAAUCAUGUAUUGGUUAAAAAAAUAAUGAUUCCUUUUCUUGCUUUAACUCAGGUGAUCCCUAGAAACACAGCCAGUGGCCCGGAAGCUGCACUGUUUUGUGCACCGCAGGGAUGGGCACAGAUGGGGCUGCCUGCCCUCCUCCUGGAAGGAGGGAGAACCCAGUCUGGCCUGGAGUGGUCAAGAGCUAACUCUAGACUCAGCAAGACCUACUUCUCUCUCCUGCCCCUACUUCCUUGCUGCUGACCUGGGCAAGUCGCUGAAGCCUCUCCGUGCCUCAGUCUGCUCGUGCGUAAGAUGGGCACAGGGCACACUGCCUACUUGAUUGGGCUCAACCACGUGCAGUAAGUAGCUGGUGUCUGGCAAGAGCCCUCAGGAAACAGUAACCCCAUUAAUUCAAAUGCACGUGCCUGGAACAGGCUCUGGGGGGCCAGCCCGGGAGUCCCACUCCAUGAUGGCCACCCUGGGGCCUGGCAGGCUGGGCUGGCAUCCCAGGCCCACCGGAUACUGGCUGUGCACCCCGGCCAGGCCACACAUCUCUGAGCCUCACUUUCCCGUGUGUGAGAUGAGGCUAGAAGCUGCUUUCUCUUGCGUGUGUGGGGAUUGGCGGUGACAACACGGCCAGGAGCCCAGGCCCAGCCUACGCGAGCAGCCUCGCUCCAGGCCACACGCCCCACUCCUGACAGCUCUGUGCAGCGAGUUCGUGCGCGAGCGGGUGGCUGUCUGCCAGGCGAGGGGCGCGGGUGCCCAAGAGGGCUUCACUGCUUCUGGAAAGAUCACAAGGAAAAACCACCUCCGCGGCGGGACGCUACCCGCGGGCCGCUGCGGUCCCGCUCGCGGCCGGCAGGGGGCAGGAUGUCCCCGCGAGUCGCCCGUGUCUUCGGGUGUCCUCAGGUCACCCCGCACCGCUCGCAGCCUCCGCGCCUAGUUAAAGGGCGACGCACUCAUUUCUGCAAAGAAGGAGCCCAGCGGCCCCUCCCCGGGGAACUCUUUCCAUCAACUCGGGGCCUAAUAAUUUACAUUUAAUUUGUUAGCGGUUUAAUGUUUAAUUUUAAAAGCGAGAUGAUUCAUUACCAUAUUAAUAAAUAAUAACAUUUAUUAUUCUCCUAAUGAGUGUCCAAAAUACAGAAGCAAUUACAUGUUUUAUAUAUUUUCUCGUAAUUUGAGACACCAGAGCGUUAAUUACAGAGACUCACGCGUGGACCCCAUUCUGAUCCAGGGUCCUGAUCCUGCCUUUGUUUCGGUCUCUGAACCAGCCGCCCUCCGGGGCUUCUGCAAUUCCCUCAAUUAGAGGAGAGGAAGUCGUACGUGACGAAGCUGGGGCUCUCACAGAACCCCGGCGCCCCAGACCCAGGAGCUGCAAGACCUCAGCUCCCCGUGCCCACACUCGGAGACCCAGGCCCCUCCCAGUCCCCCGU
rnacentral:lncRNA from 1 species